rnacentral:tRNA from 4 species
GCCCCGGUAGCUCAACCGGAUAGAGCACCCGCCUUCUAAGCGGGUGGUUAGGGGUUCGAUUCCCUUCCGGGGUGCCA